AGUGAACGCUGGCGGUAGGCCUAACACAUGCAAGUCGAACGGCAGCACAGUAAGAGCUUGCUCUUACGGGUGGCGAGUGGCGGACGGGUGAGGAAUACAUCGGAAUCUACUUUUUCGUGGGGGAUAACGUAGGGAAACUUACGCUAAUACCGCAUACUACCUACGGGUGAAUGCAGGGGAUCUUCGCACCUUUCGCGUUUGAUUGAGCCGAUGUCGGAUUAGCUAGUUGGCGGGGUAAAGGCCCACCAAGGCGACGAUCCGUAGCUGGUCUGAGAGGAUGAUCAGCCACACUGGAACUGAGACACGGUCCAGACUCCUACGGGAGGCAGCAGUGGGGAAUAUUGGACAAUGGGCGCAAGCCUGAUCCAGCCAUACCGCGUGGGUGAAGAAGGCCUUCGGGUUGUAAAGCCCUUUUGUUGGGAAAGAAAAGCAGCAGGUUAAUACGCCGCUGUUCUGACGGUACCCAAAGAAUAAGCACCGGCUAACUUCGUG
rnacentral:rRNA from 1 species